GAUGAAGAACGCAGCGAAAUGCGAUAAGUAAUGUGAAUUGCAGAAUUCAGUGAAUCAUCGAAUCUUUGAACGCACAUUGCGCCCGCCAGUAUUCUGGCGGGCAUGCCUGUCCGAGCGUCAUUUCAACCCUCAAGCCCCCGGGCUUGGUGUUGGAGAUCGGCGAGCCCCCCGGGGCGCGCCGUCUCCCAAAUAUAGUGGCGGUCCCGCUGUAGCUUCCUCUGCGUAGUAGCACACCUCGCACUGGGAAACAGCGUGGCCACGCCGUAAAACCCCCCACUUCUGAAAGGUUGACCUCGGAUCAGGUAGGAAUACCGCUGAACUUAAGCAUAUCAAUAAGCGGAGGA
rnacentral:misc_RNA from 1 species